rnacentral:rRNA from 1 species
GUGAAAGCGAACAAGAGCACACAGUGGAUGCCUUGGCACACGACGACGAUGAAGGACGCAGCAAGCCAGCGAAAGUGAUCGGUGAGGUGCAAACAACCGUUAUACCCGAUCGUCUCCGAAUGAGGCAACUCAAAAUAUCCCUAUUGGAAUAAAUAAAAAUAGGGAAGUUAACCAGGGGAACUGAAACAUCUUAGUACCCUGAGGAAAAGAAAGUAAAUAACGAUUCCCCCAGUAGUGGCGAGCGAAAAGGGAACAGCCUAAACCGUUUGUACGCAUAGCAGUGGGCGUUGUACAUGCGGGGUAGUGAGACAGUUUAGGAUUGUCCACAACAAUCCAAGAAGUUACAAUAGGUUUUUGGUAGUCGAAUUGUAUGGAAAAACAAGCCACAGCAGGUGACAGCCCUGUAGACGAAACCAUAACCCUUCUUAACUGUUCUCGAGUACCACGGGACACGUGAAACCCUGUGGGAAUCCGGGAGGACCAUCUCCUAAGGCUAAAUACGUCGGUGACCGAUAGCGAACAAAGUACCGCGAGGGAAAGGUGAAAAGAACCCCGGGCAGGGGAGUGAAAUAGAAUCUGAAACUGUGUGUUUACAAGCAGUCGAAGCACAAUGCAGCAAUGCAAGUGCGACGGCGUGCCUAUUGAAGAAUUAGCCAACGAGUUAUAUUUUCAGGCGAGGUUAAAGAAAGAACAUUCUGGAGCCGCAGGGAAACCGAGUCUUAAUAGGGCGAUAGUCUGAAGGUAUAGACCCGAAGCCGUAGUGACCUACCCUUGGUCAGGUUGAAGUGGGGCUAACCCCCCAUGGAGGACCGAACGGGUUGUGGGAAAAAACACAUCCGAUGAACUGUGGGUAGCGGAGAAAUUCCAAUCGAACUCGGCUAUAGCUGGUUCUCCCCGAAAUGCAUUUAGGUGCAGCGUCGAUCCAUUAUCAGGUGGAGGUAGAGCACUGGAAAAGCUAGGGUCCUUACCAGGAUACCAAACUUUACCAAACUCCGAAUGCCAUCUGACGUACAUCGGCAGUGAGUCUGCGAGAGAUAACUUCCGUAGGCAAAAGGGAAACACCCCGGAUCGUCAGCUAAGGUCCCUAAUACAGGUUAAGUGAUAUGAAGGAAGUGAAAUUGCUAAAACAGCUAGUAUGUUGGCUUAGAAGCAGCCAUCAUUCAAAGAGUGCGUAACAGCUCACUAGUCUAGUGAUUUUGCGCCGAAGAUUAGCGGGUCUAAAACCUGUAACCGAAGCUACGGAUCAAUUUAUUGGUGGUAGGGGAGCGUUCCUAGUGUGGUGAAGCCAUACCGUAAGGAGUGGUGGAACGCUAGGAAGUGAGAAUGUUGGCUUAAGUAGCGCAAAGACAGGCGAGAAUCCUGUCCGCCGAAAAUCUAAGGUUUCCUGGGGAAGGCUUGUCCUCCCAGGGUUAGUCGGACCUAAGGCGAGGCCGAGAGGCGUAGUCGAAGGAUAAGCAGGUUAAUAUUCCUGUACCGUAGGCAAGGCGAUGGAAGAGAGAAGAAAGGUAAGUAGAGCAGGGUCUUGGUUAUCCCUGCAGAAACCAGUAGGAGUACCGGGUUGUUAAACGCACCGGGCAAUCUGAAGGCUAAACGAAAGUCUAUGAACUAAGCUUCCGAGAAAAACUUCCUAAGAUCAAAUGCCGGACCGUACCGCAAACCAACACAGGUAGGUAGGGAGAAAUCUCCUAAGGCGUACGAAAGAACCAUGAUCAAGGAACUAGGCAAAAUAACCCCGUAACUUCGGAAAAAGGGGUGCCACAGUAAAAUGUGGUUGCAAUAAAUUGAGUCAGGCGACUGUUUAACAAAAACACAGGUCUGUGCAAAGCUGCAAAGCGCAGUAUACAGGCUGACGCCUGCCCAGUGCUGGAAGGUUAAGAGGAGGAGUUAGCGCAAGCGAAGCUUUGAAUCGAAGCCCCAGUGAACGGCGGCCGUAACUCUAACGGUCCUAAGGUAGCGAAAUACCUCGUCGGGUAAGUUCCGACGCGCAUGAAUGGCGUAACGAUCUGACUGCUGUCUCGAUCGUGGAUUCGGUGAAAUAGCAGUGCCCGUGAAGAUGCGGGCUACUUGCGGCAGGACGGGAAGACCCCGUAGAGCUUUACUGUACCCUGGCAUUGGAACUUGAUUUGUUUUGUGCAGGAUAGGUGGGAGGCUUUGAAGCGAGAGCGCUAGCUUUCGUGGAGCCAUCGUUGAGAUACCACUCUUUUCAAAUUAGGUUUCUAACGCUUAGCCACAAACCAAUCUGGCAAGCGGACAAUGUCAGGCGGGCAGUUUGACUGGGGCGGUCGCCUCCAAAAAUGUAACGGAGGCGUUCAAAGGUCUACUCAGCGUGUUUGGAAAUCACGCAAAGAGUGCAAUGGCAUAAGUAGGCUUGACUGCUUAGAUUGACGGAUCAAGCAGAUGAGAAAUCAGGACAUAGUGACCCGACGGUGGCGCAUGGAAGCGCCGGAGCUCAACGGAUAAAAGUUACCUCGGGGAUAACAGGCUUAUUGCUCCCAAGCGUCCAUAGCGACGGGGCAGUUUGGCACCUCGAUGUCGGCUCGUCUCAUCCUGGGGCUGUAGUCGGUCCCAAGGGUUGGGCUGUUCUCCCAUUAAAGAGGCACGCGAGCUGGGUUCAGAACGUCGUGAGACAGUUCGGUCCUUAUCCGCCGCAAGCGUUGGAAAUUUGAGGGAAACCCCCUUUAGUACGAGAGGACCAAGGGGGAGGAACCGCUGAUGUACCUGUUGUCACACCAGUGGCACGCGCAGGGUAGUUAUGUUCCGUUUGAUAAGUACUGAAGGCAUCUAAGUACGAAGCAAUACCCAAGAUGAGAUUUCCGAGACGUUUAACGUAAUAAGGCCUCCGGAAGAUUACCGGGUAUAUAGGCGCAAGGUGUAAGUGCAGCAAUGUAUUGAGCUGAUGCGUCCUAAUAGGCCGAAAGCUUCCUUGC